CCGAAACUUUCGUUCGUUGACAAGAGAAAACUUUUUAGUACAGGUUUCUCUUCAAGUGAUAAACCAAAUGACAUCUGCUUUUGUUGCAAGUGCUUAUCAGGAAUGCAUUCUAUUUCGAAACUGAGCUCUGUUCCUCUCUUCAUCAUUUAUCUGCCACAACGUUUUGAUUAACAUGUUGGGAAAGAGUUGAACGAGACCAAGCAUUGUGGUUGAAGGACUCAGUCGCAGAAUCAACCAUCUUUCCAAGGAUCUCCACUCCGUUUCGAGUUGUACGACUUGAUUUUUAGCACCACCAUUUGGUACUUUAUUCAAGGCUGAUUUGCAUUCAUACUAUUUGUUUUCUACCAAAAAACACAUGCAUGCACUUCUUCAUCAAACCACAUGAUCACAUCACGGCAUUGAUUUUUGCUCCUCGCCUCUUCAAAGAAAUUCAGCGGGGGGGAGGGGCAAGAUUGGCAGUGCUUUUUUGGUUAUCCCCAUCUCGAGAUGCCGGAAUUGCUUUUUUGCUUACCAUGAAACCUGUCAAAAGCGAUGAGAAAUGUUGGUCUUGAACUCCGGAUUCCACUUGGUUCGGUUAGUCACGAUCUAUCUCAGUCCGGAAGAAACCAACCAACCACUUCCAAUCUUUGGAAGAAACGUGAAAUGGUCAAGAUAUCUGGCGCAGAACUGCUCAAGGACUUGUUCCUGUCUCGGAAUUCGAUUCCCUAAUGUGGUUCCAAGCCGCUUUGGCUGUGGCGCUAAAGAAGGCCUCGAGUGGAACAGUGGAACUUGGUUCAGCGGGAACAAACGGAAACAGACGCCUGUUGAAAGUUUUUCGAGGACAGAGAAAUGCGAGCGAGGGAAAGGAGAAAGGCAAUAGGUGUUGGUUGGUUGUACAAGAUUUGCAUGAAGAGCUCGGGAACUUUUUGCAUACUCAUCAAAGGAGUUGGCGCGAUGUUGGUUUAAUCCACCUUCUCAACCCUUCAAUAUUAGUAACUGGAAUGAUGCCUCCUACUCUUCUCAAGAUUGAGGUUCGUUCUUCAAGACACAAUGAUUUUCUCGAGUCGAAAAUGUGAAACAGCCGGCAAAUACUACGUCUUUUGCACUUUGGACCUUUUUUACCACCCGAACUCAUUGCAAAUGUGUUUUUCGAAACCUACCUGACCUUUUAAUGCCCCUCUGGGAAAUGAACUAAACACUACGUCAUGCUACGUACUCGUACCUCAUUUUUAAGCCACAUUAUUAUAAGUAAUUCCUUGAACAUUUUUGGGGGCUUCAUAGUACUCAGUACAUCGGUAUAUAGGUAC